rnacentral:rRNA from 1 species
AGUGAACGCUGGCGGUAGGCCUAACACAUGCAAGUCGAACGGCAGCACAGUAAGAGCUUGCUCUUACGGGUGGCGAGUGGCGGACGGGUGAGGAAUACAUCGGAAUCUACUUUUUCGUGGGGGAUAACGUAGGGAAACUUACGCUAAUACCGCAUACGCCCUACGGGUGAAAGCAGGGGAUCUUCGGACCUUGCGCGAUUGAAUGAGCCGAUGUCGGAUUAGCUAGUUGGCGGGGUAAAGGCCCACCAAGGCGACGAUCCGUAGCUGGUCUGAGAGGAGGAUCGGCGGCAUGGGAACGGAGACACGGUCAAGACUCCUGAGGGAGGCAGCAGUGGGGAAUAUUGGGCAAUGGGCGCAAGCCUGAUCCAGCCAGACCGCGUGGGUGGAGAAGGCCUUCGGGGUGUAAAGCCCUUUUGUUGGGAAAGAAAAGCAGCAGGUUAAUACCCCGCUGUUCUGACGGUACCCAAAGAAUAAGCACCGGCUAACUUCGUG